rnacentral:rRNA from 1 species
GAGGAAUAUUGGUCAAUGGGCGCAAGCCUGAACCAGCCAUCCCGCGUGCAGGAAGACGGCGCUAUGCGUUGUAAACUGCUUUUCCAGGGGGAGAAACUUGCGCACGUGUUGCGCAAUUGACGGUACCCUGGGAAUAAGCAUCGGCUAACUCCGUGCCAGCAGCCGCGGUAAUACGGAGGAUGCGAGCGUUAUCCGGAUUCAUUGGGUUUAAAGGGUGCGUAGGCGGACUAUUAAGUCAGUGGUGAAAUCCUGCAGCUUAACUGCAGAACUGCCAUUGAUACUGAUAGCCUUGAGUUUGGUUAAGGUAGGCGGAAUGUGUAAUGUAGCGGUGAAAUGCUUAGAUAUUACACAGAACACCAAUUGCGUAGGCAGCUUACUGAGCCGACACUGACGCUGAGGCACGAAAGCGUGGGGAUCGAAC